rnacentral:rRNA from 1 species
UACGGAGGGGGCUAGCGUUGUUCGGAAUUACUGGGCGUAAAGCGCGCGUAGGCGGACCUGCAAGUCGGGGGUGAAAGCCCGAGGCUCAACCUCGGAACUGCCUUCGAUACUGCGGGUCUCGAGUCCGGGAGAGGUGAGUGGAAUCCUAGUGUAGAGGUGAAAUUCGUAGAUAUUAGGAAGAACACCAGUGGCGAAGGCGGCUCACUGGCCCGGUACUGACGCUGAGGCGCGAAAGCGUGGGGAGCAAACAGGG